CCAUCCCCAUCACCACCUCCACCUUACUACUACAAGUCACCACCUCCACCGUCACCUUCUCCUCCACCUCCCUACUAUUACCACUCACCACCUCCACCAGUAAAAUCUCCUCCUCCCCCCUACUACUACAACUCACCUCCUCCACCCGUGAAAUCACCCCCUCCACCAGUAUACAUGUACGCCUCCCCACCACCUCCGACCCACUACUAAGUUCUAAAAAGAGCUUAGCCAUUCUCCAUAACCAAUUAUAUCCUACUUUGAGGAGAAGCUCCAAACAUCAUUGGGAUAAAGCAGUCAACAUGGAGCAAUUUGUUUCUUCUUCUCUUGUGGCUUUUUUCUUGCACAUUGUUAUCAUUGUAUCAACAACUUAAUUAAUUAUUCCUCAUAGGAAGAAAAUAAUUUGUUAGUGGUCCUUUAAGGUGUAUCUGACUUUGAUAUCUUAAAGGCUUUAUUUUAUUCAUUUUUCCAUUAGUUAUAACUACUUGUUUUGUGUAUCUUCAUGUGCUUUAUGCACCAAAUCAAUAAAAUAUAAAAUUUCUUCUUUUU